rnacentral:rRNA from 1 species
UGCAUAUCAAUAAGCGGAGGAAAAGAAACCAACAGGGAUUGCCUUAGUAACGGCGAGUGAAGCGGGCAUAUCAAUAAGCGGAGGAAAAGAAACCAACAGGGAUUGCCUCAGUAACGGCGAGUGAAGCGGCAAAAGCUCAAAUUUGAAACCCUCGGGAUUGUAAUUUGAAGAUUUGGCAUUGGAGAAAGCUAACCCAAGUUGCUUGGAAUAGUACGUCAUAGAGGGUGACAACCCCGUCUGGCUAACCGUUCUCCAUGUAUUGCCUUAUCAAAGAGUCGAGUUGUUUGGGAAUGCAGCUCAAAGUGGGUGGUAAACUCCAUCUAAAGCUAAAUACUGGUGAGAGACCGAUAGCGAACAAGUACUGUGAAGGAAAGGUGAAAAGAACUUUGAAAAGAGAGUGAAAUAGUAUGUGAAAUUGUUGAUAGGGAAGGAAAUGAGUGGAGAGUGGCCGAGGUUUCAGCCGCCCCUCGUGGGCGGUGUACUGCCGACGCCGAGUCAUCGAUAGCGAGACGAGGGUUACAAAUGGGAGCGCCUUCGGGCGUUCUCCCCUAACCCUCCACACUGCCACCGACGACAUAAUCCACCCAUUUCACCCGUCUUGAAACACGGAC